UGCAAUAUAUUAAUUAUUGCGUGGACCUUGUGUUUAUUCUUCUAAUAGUGUGGCAUAUAUAUAUUUUUUUCUUUUUCUUUUAUGAUUCUUCAGAGUACUGGAAACAAUUUUUUUUUUUAUUGUUUAUUUAACUCUUUUGUGUGGGCAUCCAAACGUAUAUUGUACCUUGAAAGUUUUUUUAGAAUAAUUUUUUUUUUCCUCAAGAGAGGAAAGAUAUCUAUUUCUAGAUUAGAGAUAAAUAAAUAUUUGUUACAAAUUAAUUAAUUUAGGUUCAUUGUAAAGUAUAAAUAAGGUUCAAUGUCGGUUCACAAAAGGUCGAAUAUAAGUUCAAAUUUAAAAAAUAGGUCAAAUAUAGGUUCAAAGUAUAUAUAUGUUUAAUGUAAAGUUAAGAAGGUUCAGUAUAGGACAAGAAUAGGUCGCAAGUAGAUUCAAAAUAGGUCAAAUGUCGGUUCAAAAUAGGUCGAAUAUAGAUUAAGAAUAGGUCAAAUAUAAGUUCAAAGUAAUGUUAAUAAGGUUAAAAUUAGGUUCAGUAUAGAACAAUAAUAGGUCGAAUGUAGGUUCAAUAUAAUGUUAAUAAAUUAUGUUCAGUAUAGGACAAUAAUAGGUCAAAUGUAUGUUCAAAAUAGGUCAAACAUAUAGGUUCAGAAUAGGUCAAAAGUAGGUUGAAAGUAAUAUGUUAAUAAGGUUCAGUUUAGGUCCAGUGUAAUACAGGAAUGAGUCGCAAGUAGGUUCAAAAUAGGUCAAAUAAAGAUUUAAAGUAGGUUCAAUGUAAUGUUAAUAAGGUUCAGAUUAGGUACAGUAUAGGACAAUAAAAGGUCAAUAUUGUAUCGAUAAAUAGGUUAUAUAUGUUCAAAGUAGGUUCAAUGUAAAGUUAAUAAGAUUCGGUGUAUGUCCAAUGUAGGAUCCAAUAGGUCAAAUGGAGUUUCAAUAUAGGUCAAA